ensembl:snRNA U6 U6 spliceosomal RNA
GCUUGCUUCAGCAGUGCAUGUACUAAAAUUGGAACGAUACAGAGAAGAUUAGCAUGGCCCCUGCGCAAAGAUGACACUCAAAUUCAUUAAGAGUUCCAUAUUUUU